rnacentral:rRNA from 1 species
GUACACGCUGUGACUAGCAUAUCAAUAAGCGGAGGAAAAGAAACUAACAAGGAUUCCCUCAGUAACGGCGAGUGAAGCGGGAAGAGCUCAAAUUUGAAAUCUUGAGAGGUCACCUUUCACGAAUUGUAGUUUAAAGAAGUGUUUUCUGUUACGAUCGUAAUAUAAGUUCUUUGGAAUAGGACAUCACAGAGGGUGAGAAUCCCGUCUAUGAUUGCGAUUUGUAGCUUUGUGAUACACUUUCAAAGAGUCGGGUUGUUUGGGAAUGCAGCCCAAAACGGGAGGUAAAUUUCUUCUAAGGCUAAAUAUUGGCGAGAGACCGAUAGCGAACAAGUACCGUGAGGGAAAGAUGAAAAGAACUUUGAAAAGAGAGUUAAACAGUACGUGAAAUUGUCAAAAGGGAAGCGUUUGACACCAGUGUUGUUUUCUCGAAAAUCAAUUAAAAAUGGCUCGAUUUUGUAUUGCUGAGACCUUAAAAGCUCACUGUACAUUUUUCGUGUCCUUUUUAAUGCACUUUUCGUUUAACAAGUCAACAUCAGUUUCUUUUGUUGUAAAAGGGUCAUUGGAAGGUGGCUUUCUUUUCGGAGAAAGUGUUUAUAGCCUUUGGCCUCUGCAAUCGGAGAGACUGAGGUCUGCAGCGUAGACUCUUCGGGGUUAGAUACAUUUGUGCUAAGUUAUAGCUUUUUAUAGACAACUUGUUGACUAUAAUUAGUCUUGUAGCUUACUCGCUUAUGCUAUUUUACCUACGCUUAGGAUGUUGACACACGCGCGUGCUCGACUCUAUACAUGACUCUGUGCAUAUCAAUAAGCGGAGGAAAAGAAACUAACAAGGAUUCCCUCAGUAACGGCGAGUGAAGCGGGAAGAGCUCAAAUUUGAAAUCUUGAAAGGUCACCUUUCACGAAUUGUAGUUUAAAGAAGUGUUUUCUGUUACGAUCGUAAUAUAAGUUCUUUGGAAUAGGACAUCACAGAGGGUGAGAAUCCCGUCUAUGAUUGCGAUUUGUAGCUUUGUGAUACACUUUCAAAGAGUCGGGUUGUUUGGGAAUGCAGCCCAAAACGGGAGGUAAAUUUCUUCUAAGGCUAAAUAUGGCGAGAGACCGAUAGCGAACAAGUACCGUGAGGGAAGGAUGAAAAGAACUUUGAAAAGAGAGUUAAAUAGUACGUGAAAUUGUCAAAAGGGAAGCGUUUAACACCAGUGUUGUUUUCUGAAAAUCAACCUCUGUUAGCUUUAUGCAUGUUUGUUUAGACCUAAUCAGCUAUCUUUCAUGUUCUAUUGUUUGCAGUGGUGCACUUUUCAGUUUACAGGUCAACAUCAGUUUUUUUUACCGUAAAAAAGUUAAAGAAAGGUAGCUCAUGGCUCCGGUCGUGAGUGUUAUAGUCUUUUUCCUAUGCGGUAGGAGAGACUGAGGUCUGCAGUGUAGGCUAUUUGGCUAGAUACUCAGGUGCUAUGUGAUACCAUUUCAUAAACAACUUGUUGAUUAUGUUUUGUCUAUUGCAUAACUCGCUUGUACUAUCAUACCUACGCUUAGGAUGUUGAGUAGCGACAUACGCAC